CCCGCACUGAGGAGCACAGGUGAGGCAAACACAACUGCAGAUCCCUCUGCAAGCACAGCUGCAACAGCCAUUCUGUGAACCUGCUCACAGGACCUCUAGGUAAAAGGCUCUGAUCUUUGUUUCCUGCAUAGGUCUGGCUUCAGCAUGGCUGGAAUGAUUGUCAUGAAUCUUAAUUCAGAAAGCACAACCUACUGUUGUAAUGAAAGAAAAUAAUCACAAGAAUCAGAAUUGAUAAUAAUGCAUCAAGAUACCUGAAUUAGACU